CGCGUAGGUGGUUUGAUAAGCGAGAUGUGAAAGCCCCGGGCUUAACCUGGGAACGGCAUUUCGAACUGUCAGGCUAGAGUAUGGUAGAGGGUAGUGGAAUUUCCUGUGUAGCGGUGAAAUGCGUAGAUAUAGGAAGGAACACCAGUGGCGAAGGCGGCUACCUGGACCAAUACUGACACUGAGGUGCGAAAGCGUGGGGAGCAAACA
rnacentral:rRNA from 1 species